GAUGAACGCUGGCGGCGUGCUUAACACAUGCAAGUCGAACGAAGCCAAAAGGAAGCUUGCUUUCUUUGAAGCUUAGUGGCGGACGGGUGAGUAACGCGUGAGUAACCUGCCCUUCAGUGGGGAAUAACACAGAGAAAUCUGUGCUAAUACCGCAUAACGUCUUCUUGCCGCAUGACAGGAAGACCAAAGGAUUUAUUCGCUGAAGGAUGGACUCGCGUCCGAUUAGCUAGUUGGUGAGGUAACGGCCCACCAAGGCGACGAUCGGUAGCCGAACUGAGAGGUUGAUCGGCCACAUUGGGACUGAGACACGGCCCAGACUCCUACGGGAGGCAGCAGUGGGGAAUAUUGGGCAAUGGGCGAAAGCCUGACCCAGCAACGCCGCGUGAAGGAAGACGGUCUUCGGAUUGUAAACUUCUUUGAUUGGGGAAGAAACAAAUGA
rnacentral:rRNA from 1 species